GGUCUCUUCACUAGCCCUCAUCUCCAGACUCACAAGCCCAACUAACCUCCAGUUUUUGUCUCUUAUCAGUCCUUUGGAAGUUCUACUAUGAUCUUUUGCUCAACAUGUCUAAGAUCACCUCUGUCUUCCUCCUCCAUAACUCCUUUUCUCAGGAGCAUAUGGAUGGCUGAUACUCCUGAUACUUGCCAACUGCUCCAAGCCACUUUCUUAUUUGAGGCUCCCACUCCCAGUUUUAUUUCAAAAUCAUAGGCUCUGCUUGCAGAAUUUCUCUUAAUCUGGCUUCUGCUCUUCCUUCUCAGCAGCUACAGUAACGUUCCUUUUGCUCUUGCACUCCCAGUCUUGUUGUGACUCUAUACACAUAGAAAUGGUGUUGCAAAAAAUAAUUUUUCCCAUGCUUGAUGUUGUUGCCCACUGUUUGUGUCUGCCAGGUUGCAGAGCCCCAAGGUGAGGCUGGGGCAUCGUGUUGCUGACUGCAAGGUUUGAGAAUUGUCUGGAAUUGAAAUAGAGCUCCUGAACAAGGGGCCAAAGCCAAAGGUAGAGAAUGGCAUUUUAGACCACAGUUUCAAGGUUACUCUUGGCCUAUCUCACUCCUGCGUUGCCUCUCACUGAGAAUUCAGAAACUUCUUUAUUUCAACUUUCAUGCUUUCAAAUGAUACUCUUUGCCUACGUGACCUUGCAUACUUGGGAUGCUCUCUCUCUGCACCAAGUCACAGCAUAUUCUCCUAAAAAUUCCUCCUUAAUAUUCUCUUGAAUUUGAUGAAUACAGAAGUGUUUGAUGGAUUUUGGGUUACCAACAUGCCAGCAUUACUGCGUGAUACUCUGACUGAUACUGAUUCAUUUUAUCUUAGUAUUCUCCAGACUAUCUACAUUUCUGUAUUAUCACUUGUCCUGCAUUACCAAGUCACUGGGCUAAAUCUCAGCAUUUUUCUGUCUUUUUUUUUUUUUUUUUUUUUUUUUUAUAGUAUUUAUCACUGUAGAGGCUUCCUCUGUGAUUACUGGUCUUAAACAUCAAAGGUAUAUAAAUAAAUAAUGCUUUGUUGCAAAUUCUAGCAAAGCAGCUCUUUGAAUGAAAGCUUGAAAUACAGGCAGGUCAUCAGUGAUCCAGCUCUGACUGUCAGCUUUCCCAUUUCAAACAGGUAAUGUUCAGACGUGGUUUAUAUGCCUGUGAUUCUUCAAAAUGACACAACUGUGGAGUUUUAUGCACCUCUUACUCCUACUUAUCUUCCAGUCUGAUAAUCAUGGUGCAGUAGCCAAAAACAUUGAUAGCACUUAGGAAGAAGAGCUGAGACUGAGUCAAGUGUCAAGUAAAUACACUGAAAGAAAUUCUAAUGUCUGCAAGUCACUGAAAAUCUCAUAAUUAAGUACAGUGAAGAUGAGAUUUCACUUACAGAGAUUCAAGCCAAAAACACUGUGAAAAAUUACAGUUGAGAAAGGAUGAAUUAGCCAAAGGUGUCACUGAAAAGGAGAUUACAUCAGCUGCCCUUCUGGAACUUAAUUAAAAAAACUACAUUUCCAAAUGCCUUGUACCAAGGAGUGCUUUGGAGCCAUUUGGAGGCUAGAGGCUGGAGUAGAGUAAUGGGGCAAAAUGUAUUUAAAAGUACCUGUGUUCAGUCAAAGUCCCAUUUUUCAAAAGCUCAAGUCCUUGGAUGCCUAUCUUACAUGGGCAUCUUGGGGAGUCAGAAGCAUGGGCACUUUCGGAAAACAUUGCCUGGUUCCUACUUAAAAAACUAACCCUUUGCUAGACAACUCUCAGUGGAAAACAAUCUUAAGGCACUUCGGAAAAGUUCUCCUUAAGUUUCUUUAUGGCCUAAAAAAGUGUCUGGGGAGGAAACAUUACAGAGAAUUACUGUGAGAAUUAUUUUGCACAGCUAUUCAGAGAUCUGGUCACAGAAAGGUAUACUUGAGAACUGCCAAAAGAACUCCAGUUCACCACCUGCACUGACCAGGUCUGCACAAUUUUUGUGCAGGGAAAGUUAAUCUGGAAGUCCAGUGUUGGUGUUCUUGGCUGUGAUUGGCUCACAGGUCCAUUGUUGGCUGCAUUAACCCACUGUAUUACUUCAUUGGUAAUUCUAUCUUGGUGUUAAUUCUGUCAGUUCACUUUAAAAUUCCUUGUGGUAUGAAAUCCAGGUGCAUGCUGUAGCAGAGCAGUGCAGUAAUGAGAGGUCUUUAAAGGUAAUUGCAUACUCUACUAUGUUCUGGAAUUACUGUCUUGGGGCUUCCCAAUCAUUCUACAGUCUUCAUAUGCAGUAUUUAUUAUAGUAUUUGGUUUAAGAUAAGACACUAAUAGGUUACAUAUGUUUGAUUAAGGAGCUGAUGAGAGUUCUAGGGGAAAAUCAGGUUUGAAGAUCUGGAGGAUUAUUAAUAUUUAAGGUCUUCAGAUACUCUCUUGCUGGCUCAUGAAAAUGUCAUUGAAACACAUUGUCUCACUCUGUUAUUCAUUUCCUUGAUAAGAAUUCAUCCCUGAAUAAAGGCUAGCUAGAAACUGAGAAAAGCCUGAAAUGAUCCCUCUUGUUUUAGAUUAAGACCCUGUAGACAAAUCUUCAAGAGUAAGCAACUGUGGAAAUCCUUGGUAAAAUGUAAAUCUCCUUGCCAAUGGCUGCUCUGGGCUCCCAGGCAGGCCAAGCUCCCUGGCACCAUCAGGCCCUGUGGGUUCUGGCCAUGGGGCAAGGGUCAUUAGCACUGCUGGGGAAGAGAGGACACCUGGGAGAGGUGAGCUGCUGCCAGGCAUGGAUAGAUAUCUGGCAGGGCAGGGGUUUUCAUGAGGUCUGCUCCAAACAUCACUUGAGAGCUUGUAGCACUGAGUUAACUUGCUUGACUAUUAUAUUAAAAGGCUUUUUAUGCUAUCUUUAUGAAAAUACUUGUUUCUUGCUACUGAACAUCAAAUACCUGCUACAGCCUCUUUCUUCUGCCUGGGCUUUCUGAGGGGAGCUUUUUUAACUCGCUGCUGCCCUAAUCCCUCAUUUUCCUUCUCCAUCAGCCUCAGAUUCCAGGCAGAGCUGAGGCACAGAGUAGCCAUCGUUUGUGUCCACAGGUACUAGGAAAUCAUUACACGAUUUCUGACUGCCUCAGCUCCUCGCCCUUGUUGUGCCUGGGGAAGAAAAUAUGGCAGAAAAAGUGAUGAAUGUGUGCAUGGCUUUGAACUGGAAAGCCAAAGGUAUCCUUGCAUUUGCUGCUGCUUUAAUUUAUCACUUCCCUGCACAGCAGCAAGUACAUUUCUAAAUAUUCACAGCUGGGCUACAGAUACACCUGGUAUGGAAGGUGUAACAUUUAUUCAAACAAGCCCCAGUUUCCACCCCCUCUUCACUACAAAUGUGCUCAUCAGUGAGCUCAGGUAGACUUGGGCCUGAAGCACUGACCAGAUAGAUACCCCAGCAGAAACUGAACCGUGUCCAACAACAGCUGGAUAUUUCUUAUUUGCAUCUGCUUUUUAACUUGUUUGCGGUUUGUUUUUGGCUCAGAUGAAUUAUUCCGACUUUCCUUUCUCUGGAGAAACAUCCAUUGACAGCAGUGACAUCUUGCUUGAAGGAAGAUGGUGCUGAACAGAAAUCACAGCUGCUGUGGGAAAUGGUAUGUUACCGUGCCCAGCUGCUGUUUGCAGCCAACGAGCUAUUUCUGAGCAGGUUUCUAGUUUUAGACCAACGGAAACCUGUGAUUAUCAAAGAAGUUGUGAGAACCUCGUGAAUGCCCCAUCCCUGGAAGUCUUUAAGAACCGGUUGGAUGGGGCCCUGGGAAACAUGAUCUAGUGGAAGGUGUCCUUACCCAUGGCAGAGAAACUAGGUUACCUUUAAAGUUUCCUUUGAACACAAAGCAUUCCAUGAUUCUAUGAAUUUAGCCAUUACUGGGAGCUGUGAAAAUUUCACCAAGGAUACAAAAUUGCCAUGAAAAGAUCUAUGUAUUUUCUAACUUCCAAAUACGAAGUUACUCCACAUGCAUUUAAUCACUGUGUAUUUCUGUGUGUACGUUGUGAGCCCUGGGAAAACGUCCAGCAACCGAAGGAAAAACCGAAGGUUAAAUGAGAUCAAGUAACAAUGCUUUGGCUUUGGACAUGGAACAUGAAGAAGAGUUCCCACAACUGAAGUGGUUCAUGUGACAAGUGUCAAGUUUACACAACAAUAGAGGAAUGUCAUGCACAACUGUCAUCUGGAGCCUUCUUUGUGAAUAGAAUUUGCAUUUUGUCAUGGUAUCAACGUCCCAGUCUCCACUGUGCCUGAGAAUCAGGAACCUCAAAUUGUCCCUUGCAUGGCAGCAGCUAAUCAAGUUUUGAAGGUAUGUUUUGCAAGGUAAAGUCUAACCAAAGUGCAGUUUCUAAGACCAACUUCAAAUUCACUAGUGCUAAGAAUUGUGAAGAGACACAGGUCAUUGGCAAGCCUAUAAUAAGGUAAUAGCAAUUAUCUCUGUGUGACAGUCCUCCUAGUGCCUUAGAUUACCAGCACCACCUUUUAUGUGGUAAGAAAUAACAGCAUCUGUAGGAACAGGGCUUGUGGAGCUGACUGAGAAGAGAAUGGCUUUGGACUUUGAUGAUAGAGAAAUCUGAGAUGAAUCCUCACCAUACUGAUGGUAUAUUUCAUGUCUAACUCUGGACAUUGUAGGAUGUGGAUUUCCCCUUUGCCUCUAUGCACUUCUUCUCAAAUACCCAGGUUUAGAAUUCAGAUUCAUAAAAAUACAAAAGUAGUGGACUCCAAUUUCAUUCUCUGUUCUUUGGUUAAAGCAGUGAAUUUAGGUUAUAAAUAUCUUCCGUCAAUCUUGUCUGGAUCUCCUCAGAUGUUUUGAAUGCGCUGCACAGUAGAAAAGAAGAAUCAUAUUCCUUCCAGUUAAUUCCCUUGGUAACUAUGUAGCCAAAAUUACAUUUACUAGAUUCAAUAAGAAAAAUUAUCUAUCUUACCCAUUUUCAUCACUUUAAGUUGCAAUAGAGAGCUUAUUAAGAGUGUUAAUAUCUGCAAUUUUCCAGAGGCUAAACCAGAAGCAAUUAGGGACCUUGUAUGAUACCUACUAAGUGCAAACCAGCGUAUUAUUGUUCCAUUAUUUCCUAGAGCUCCUAUUUGAAACCUGGUAGAAUAUCCAAUGAGCUGAAUAAGUUGAUCAUAAGAAUAUAAAUCUCACGGAUUUCUGUCUCGUACAAACACUCCUGUUGAGAAACAAAGAUUAGACACAUGUCAUGAAAUAAAAUGCUGCCACGGGUAGGAGUAGCUCUUUCAGUGGAGCCCAUCACACAGCAAGUACUGGUGGAGAUCACUAUUUAUUUUUUUAAGGUAAAGGCAGCAUUAGAGGGUAUUUAAAUGGACAUUAAGGAAUUAGUGACUGUGAUUUAAUAAUAAUUUGUAGUUUAACAGAUGAGUGGAUCCCUAAAACAUAGGGUGAAAUAACUGGAAUAACCGAAAUGCUUGCUUGAAAAUUUUCAAAGCACUUGCUUUAUAAAAGUCAAAUGAAAGACCAGUAUCCCAAAUUGUACUUAGAAUAAGCAUACAAAAAUGUGUCAGUGUUAGGGGGUACUGCCUCAUUAACAUGAGGAUGCUCCAUUAACAUUAUCAGCCAGACAAUGGCCACCAUACAGAAGGUUAUGGCAGAAGUGGUAUAUCAUACCAUGCUGCUGUCUUUUAUGUUGUUGCAAUGAAGGAUUCUUCUUUCACUAACUUCAACCCACACUUCGUAUUUAAAGGCAAGGAAAUGAAGCUUCCAACAAAGCACUUUUUGAACAUGACCACUCUUUCACCAGAAGAACAGAGGACGUUUUCUCCCUUUCAGAAAAGUGCUAGGGACUCCCUUUCCCAGUGAGCAGUGAGGUGAGAGGUUAUAUUUGCAAAUCCUUUCUGAGCCCUGUGACACGCUUAUGGUGUAGAGGCCUUACAGAUCAUCUGUGAGGCAUACCUUACAAAUCAAAUCCCAUCGUAAACUUUGACACUGUACUGCUUAUGUAAUCAGAAGCAGGUAGCCACGAGUGAUUAUCUGAGCUCUGUGCCUCCCACUGGCAAGCUACCUUCAGAAAAAGAUGUUCUACUAGAGAUCUGCUUGAAAGAUAGGGAACUAUAAAGAAGACAUACAGUUACUUGUUUUUCCAUAGAUGGUUGCAAUAAAAUUUAGUUACUGGCAAAUGUGCCAUAUGUAUAUGCACUAAGAAACAAUAGGUUUUCUGCAUUCUGUAGCUUUGCAUUUCCUGGGUCUGAAGCCAUGACAGCCAUAAUUUCAUUGUUUGGCUGAGUUAAUGUGGCAUACGCAGGUAUCAAUGCUGCUUUCUCAUGAAGACUGGACUCUUAACUUUGAUGUUUUGUUGCUUUUCUUUCAUCAGGUAUAGGUUUCUUGGGCAUAGGCAAAACUUUUUAGAGCAUGAAAAGAUAUACUGGCAAGAAUGAACAUUCUUACUGGAGAGUGAGUGCUUACAUGUUGUCAGUGGUACAGGUUUAGAGGGAACAUAGCAACAUAGCACAGAGAAGGAACUUGGAAUGAGUAUAAGGUAAUCCCUUGAAAGACUGAGGCUAUUUUAGAGGUCAUGCCAAUAUAUUCACCUUCUGUGAGGCACAAGGCUGUUCAUUAACCACUUCAUUAUUACAGAAAUGGCAGUGGUGAUAAAUUCUAUUAAUGCCCAUCUACUUCCUAGAUUUAUGUGAUUUAAACUUUCAUUCCCCCACCAGACUCACAGGUGCCUCAAAGGUACUGUAUAUAUUCAGCAGCCCUACGGAGUUUACAUGUUUAAUGCAUGAAAUUGCCCAUGUCCAAUCUCUCCUCUUUUAUUAUCAAGGCAUAAAGUAAUGAUAAGUAGGAGUACCCAACUAGGAAAGGUGAGAUCUCAGGUCCAAACCUGCCUAAGAUAAAUAUUUAAUAAGAAAGGGUCAUAUUUAUUAAUAAUAUCUUAAUAGUAUAGUCUUUAAAGGAUAGAGGGGCUUUAAAACAGGUCUCAUGUAGGUCUUCAAGCAGCCAGGCUUCAGGGUCUGCAUUCUCCUUCUCUACAGAACAGUUAACUAUUUCCACAGCACUGAUUUCUCAUUACCAUGGAAAGUUUUGGACUAGCCCACUUGGAAUGCCUGGACUCUUGGAAUGUAGCUAUUCUGACAAAAUAAACACGGUCAGCACGGUUUAAUGGUCAGCACACUCCUGGUUUUGGCCAGGGUCAGCCAGCACAAACCUCAGUAAUACCUUGGCACAGUUUAAGUGUUUACACCCUUCAAUGUCAUCUUCCAUGGGCAGUUUGAAAGUGGUUUCUCAUCUUUGGAAAUGUUAGAGAGUGUGGCUAUGACAUCAGGAGUUGUGCCAUGCCAUGUUAGGCAUGUUUGCAUGGGUUACAUCACCCCUGCAUUUUCUUAUAGAUAAGGGCAAGGCUCCAAUCCUGCUGCUUUCAGACAUCCCGCUCAAUCCCUCAUGUCUUGACUUCAUGUCAUGAUGUAUCCUUUUCCUUCAGCUGUCUGUUGUGAAUAGGAUCUGCAUAGUGUGCAGAUUCUUGCUGAGUUACAAGGACGUGAGUUCCUAUAGUUGGAUGCCAAGCCCUGGGAGAUACAUCCCUCUCUGCAACAUUUCCUGUUUCGGUCAGUUUGGUCUGCUGCUAGAUAAGACUGAUCAUACGAGAUACACCUGUGCUUUGUCUGUGAAAUUUGGACACCCAGGCUGAGGGCUCCCAGAGAUAUGGAAAUAGGCAGUGUUGGGAAGUUCCAUGAUGAGCACGGUCAUGCGUAUGUACUCUAGAAUCCCAGGCAUAAGGGAUUACCGUGAACACACUGUAUCAACAUAGAAGCAUGAAACAUGGAACUUCCUCUUGGUUUCCUUGGUAAGAAGCACAUUGAUAUUUGUCAUGGAAGAGUCUAGUCUGUGCUUGGUGUGCAAUGCAAAUGUUUCUUUCUACUUCAUUUCCUGCAUAAUUAGUAUAGGCUGCUAUAAAUCAUUCUGCAUAGUCACGACAUUGCAGGACUUUAUCAUUUUUGUAGGCCAGAGAGAGUCGCUGCAGUUCAGACAGAACAGUUCUGGCCUACUAGCUCAGCAGAGAAGAUAACAGAGCACAGGUAGAAGAAAAAACCUUACCUUUUUAAAAACUGAGCCAAGGAAAUUGUCUCACACAUGCACAUUGAAAUCUUUACUGAUGCUUAAAGCUUAGUUCACUGGUACAAUGCUGACGUGGCUGGGUGGAGUCUUUGACAUCUCAUUAUCUCGACAUAAUGUCACAUUACUCUGAUGCACAUUCUGUUGUUAAAAUGUUAAAAUAACUCUUCAUUAUGUGAGAUACUACUGGUAUAUUUAAACAUCAUAGAGUCACAAAACCUGCUCAUAAAACAAACAUAAUCUAAACAUAUGUCAAGUACUCUCAAAAUUUGUACAAAAUGAUCUGAUGGUAGCUGGUGUCAUUACAUUUAUGAGUUUUGGACACAAUGCCAUAUAGCAGACUGUCUGUGUGUCAUCAAGAGGAGAGGCUGACUUUAAGUAACACUACAGGAGAAGAGAAACAAAAGAGAACCAAAUGAGUCAUUUUUAGAAAACAAAACUGGACAUCUUCUGGUAUACUCAAAGUUUUGCAAACUCUGUCUUAAAAAUCUUUUAAGGAAAUAGUCUCCUUUUUACAAUGGGAAGUUAGAAUUUAUAGUUGAUAAUUAUGAUUUAUGAUCCAUAAUGUCAAAUAGUAAAGAAAUGAGUAUGUUUCUGAACUCUUAAUCUUUUCAGCCAUUAGAUUUGGGAGUUUUUGUAAUGCAUAAUAUUGAUUGAUGUUGUUUGUCUAUGUGAUGAUUAAAUCCUGAAAUCAAUUUGGAGUUACCUUGUUGCAAAUUGGUUUUGUAAAUAGAUCAAAGAAGGAUUUCAGAAUGACUUUCUCCUAUUUUCUGUUGUGCUUGUCUAAUAAUCAGAAUAAAGAGGAUUUUAGUAGAUGAGGCUGCUUUAAAGUGGAUCAUUGGUAAGAUACUACACUACGCACACAUCUAAUAGAUAGCAAGUGAAUUGAUACUACAUUUUAUUUGGGCUAUGGGGAAAAGAUCCCUUUUCAUCAUAGAUUCUACAUGUAACAGAAAGACAGAACUGAUUUCACUAUCGGAAAUCACACUGCCUCUAACCUGUAGGAGUUUUUUCUAUUUCUGAAGAGUUGGAAUAAAAAAAACCAGUGAUAAUUGUAAUUUAAAAUGAAAUAGGCAGCAGUAAUGACAUUGCACAAUCAGAGAGUAGUGGUUUUCCAGGCAAAAAAUGCAUUUAGAAUUACACAGUGGUUGUAAUUAUAUGGAUCCUUUUCCUAAUGCAGUACUCCCACUAUUCUAACUUCCUUAUACACUGACGUUUUUAAUGAAUGUUGCUAUUGCACACACAAACCAUCACUUUGAUGCUGAGCCUCAUGGAAUUGGCUUGAAAACUCACCUCUGUGUGGCUUCAAUGAUCUUAAGAGGAAGGGAGGGUCCAUGCCCCGGUAUGCUUAGAGGAGGCCAUCUGUCAAUCCAAACUUAGAGGCCUGGGUUGUUGCAAGCUGGGAGUGCAGUGGAUGGUGAUAAACCUGUGUUUGCAUUUCAGAUGACAAUUUUACAUAAAAGGAACACCUAUAAAUAGUUUAUGGGGAGUUAAUUAAUGCUACCAGCAUGUUACAGGCAUAAAUACGUAGAUACAAGCACCCCAACAGAAGGCAGUGGGCGGGGAUGAGCUAUUGUUUCAGACAGCCUGUUCACCUGGUGGACUUACUCCAGCUGGCUACAGCAAUUUAUUAAAAUGUCUAUUAAUAACAGAGAUAGAUGUAAGCUAAACUUAUAUACUCCAGGUGACUAUGGCAUUCCCUACAGAGAUUGGGGUGUAUGUUUGGAUCAUCUCAGCAUGAGCUGUGUGUAAAAGUCACAUUCGCUGACAGAGGUGCCAGGGCUGCUGCUGUAAAAGUGGAUGGUGAGCGCAGGUGCAUUAUUGGAAGAAUAGGAUGUAAAGCUCAGCUAUAUGCACACAAGGGUCUUUCAUGGCCCUUCUCUGCAGUGAAGCUGAAGAGAAGCACUGACUUCUAGUGAUCAUAAAACACUGACACAGUGUUUUUGCAAUGAAAAAUAUCAUGGGCAAUUCAUGGAGCUGACUGAGGAGCGAACUCAGUCAAUCCCUUCACCAUUAAUAUAAAGACCUGUUCUUCCCCUCUGUGACCCAGGCACUGCACAGCAGACGCUUCUCAUUUGGUUUAGUAGGAGAGAAGGAGUAUGCACUUACCCCCAGAUAAUCUCCAGCUUGUUCCUCCUCUGCAGAUAGGAGAUAGGGAUGUGCACUGCCUGAGGGUGAAUACAAAACUUAAACCAGUUUUCCUGGUGUAUGCAAGGACACCACCUCACAGGCUAUUUGCAAAAUGCAACCACGAAUCUUCUAUUAAAAAAAAAAAAAAAAAGAAAAAGAAAAAAGAAAGAAAGAAAAAGAAAAACAAAUAAAUACUUAGCUUUCUAUUGCUUUGGCAAACAUUUUAAUUCAGAGCUUACUAUCUUCAUCUGAGCACCCUAGCUGGGGAAGACCGGUAUUCCUACAUUUUACAGAGAAGCACCCUACAACUCUCCUCUGCCCACCUCCAUGCUGAGGUGCCUAUACGGACACAGUGUGGCUGAGGUUGGAAGGCACUGAUGAAGGUCAUGUGGUUCAACCCCCUGACUACCACAUCAGCUCGGCAGUACUGCUGCUUGACAUAAAAUCACUUCUGUAGAUUAAAUCCAGUUCCCUUGGCCUAAACUUGUACUCCUUUCCUACAUGUUUGAGACAAAAGAGGCUUGCAAACAAGGUGUCCUUGCAAACAAGUUGAGCAGAGGCUUCCAAAUUCUUCUUCGAUUGACAGUUAUACUAACUCUGUAAACUCUUACCAAAUGUGGCUUAUCAGAAAGAAGAACUAGUUGAAACUCACCAAAUAAGGCAUAUCAGGAAGAAGAACGAGCUGAAAACAGAAGAUGUUGCAGUGGUCGGUGGACAACUAGAACUUAGGAACUUCAGAUUUACUGCGCAGGCUUAAUAGGCUAAUUAAUGUUAACUUGUCCAUCCUGGGCAAUAUAAAGUUAGCAUUAAUUGCACAUGCAAUGUAUGAUACACAACGUGGUGACAUAUAUGGGGGAACAUUUAUGUGAUGGACUGAUAAGUCUGUAACCUCCAAGAACUUCAGCCAGUGAGGAAAGGAGGAGUGACACUGCAGCUGGGAAGUAGGGAUAAAAAAGCAGCUGCAAUCUCUGAUGGGUUGAGACACCCUACUGGGAAAUUAACCCAGUAAACUCUCCCUUUAUUCAAAUGAAGAAUGAUAAAGACUCUCCUCCAUCUCUUUUGGGAUAAAGAUAGUUCAGCAAGCAUAUUUGAGCAAAAAAAAAAAAAAUUCCCAACAUAUUACAAUGCAGGUUUGUGAGUUACAGGGCAAGUAGAGAUGGACAUGUGUGUACUUGGGGGAGAGAGGGCAGUGGAAUGCAGACAGAGAAAAGCAGGCUGUGUCAGCCUGGAUCAGCGUUAUGUCUCCCUGAAAAAAAGCAGUCCCUGAUUCUCCAACUUUCCAGCAAAGCUUAGCUGACUGGAGAUCUCCCAGGAAGGAGAAGAGGGAGCAGGAAGAAGAGCAAUUUUGUGCAUGGAUGGUAAAAGUUGCCAGAUGAAGAAAUAUGCAUUCUGGAACUGCAGUAAGACCUGGUAUUUGCUCACCAACACCUUAUGGCUGAACACAUGAAUAAUGAGUGCAACAAUGCUGGCAGUAACUCAAAUGGAAACUGGGACUUACGGUAGAAGGAAAAAGAAUUACAAAAAAUAAAAAUAAAAUCAAAGGAUAAAAGAGUUAAAAAAGAUAAAAAGUUUUAAAAGAUAAAAGAGUUCCUGACCUCUAAGAACACUGCAAAAGGAAGCAUGGAUGCAGAACAUUGCUCUGAGCUGUAAAGUGCUCCCCUGCAACCUCCUGCGCCACACCAAACAAGUCAUGAUCAUCAGUAUGUUGGAGACCUGUACUUGUUCAUUUAUUUUCAUCAGCUGCAAAUAUUAGGAAGAGACAGUUGCCAGAGAGGAGUUGCUCGACAGAAAAGUCAGAAAAUUCAGAAAAUGAACAUCUCAGAGCCCAAACCAUGCAAACAAAUCAGUGGCCUCGUCUUCUAUUCAAGCUAUCUCCAUUUCAUCUGUAACAUAGAGUUUGCUAGCUCUUAUUGUCACUUUCAGGCUCUCCUGUCCCAACUUAAUGUAAUAAUAAAAACAGGUACUUUUUAGUCUAUUUAAAUGGCAUUUAAAAUAUUUAUAUUGCUCUUUCAAAGAAAAAUAAACUAAAUUUUGGUCAAAACUAUUAUAAUGAUGAUAUAUUAAUCUUGGAAACUGCCAUCUGUUGUAAUUUACUUUGUGCUUUGACACUACUUUCACUGUGAAACUGUCUUCAUUGCCAAAAGCAAAAUAUCAUUAAAUACUCAUACUUUUCUUGUGUUCUUUUUUUAAACUAAAUUUUGCAUUCAAUUUAGAUUCAUGCUACACUGACAUUUCAAAGCGGAAGAUGUUCAGAGACCAGUUUUAGUACUACAGCUAUAAUUUACUCUGGAUGGUAUUACAGCCUCUAUACGUCAGCAGCUUGGUUUUCAGAAAGCACU